UGAAGAUUCCCUAAUUUGGCUCCAGUGGAAUUUGGAUGUUUAUUGACUUGAAGUCAAACUUUGCUCCGCAAAAGUGUUUAUCAACGUGUGGUCCAUGGCCCCUGGUGGUUCUUGGUGGGAGUGGGCAGUGUCCAUGGACUGGUGAGAACUAAUCAAGUCUGCCAGGUGCUGUCAAACAAAGGUAGGGAGCCAGUCGUGUUUUUUUGUUUUGUUUUGUUUUGUUUUUUGCAGUACGCGGGCCUCUCACUGUUGUGGCCUCUCCCGUUGCGGAGCACAGGCUCCGGACGCGCAGGCUCAGCGGCCAUGGCUCACGGGCCCAGCCGCUGCGCGGCACGUGGGAUCUUCCCGGACCGGGGCACGAAGCCGUGUCCCCUGCAUCGGCAGGCGGACUCUCAACCACUGCGCCACCAGGGAAGCCCACCACUCGUGUUUUUGCACCAUUCAUUUUAAGCAAAGUUCAGUAAUCUGCUUGCAAACUCAUUGAGUUUUUCCUAGAAUGGCAACAAAAUAAGGUUUUCCUAUCUGUGAUAAUCUAAUGCUGUUGCUAAUGGCACAUAAGAAAUGGAAACUAUAGAGGCUUCAUUCAAAGAGCAAAGUCAGGCACUUAUCAAGGUCGAUAUUUAACACCUGUUAUUAACACCUGUUGAUUGGUGACGUGUGACAAACUUUUAGGUACUAGGGACGCAGUGGUGAGGAAAGCUCUGCUCUUGUAGAGCUUAUAUUCUCAUUGGGAGGAACCACAUAACAGCCAAGUCAAGAUUCAUUUCAGAAAGUGACAAAUGCCCUGAAGAGACUAGAGAGCUUAAUGUUGUCAGGGUGUAUAUUCAGCAACUAUGCACCCAUCUGGCUAUGCAUGUAGUCUGCAGCUUGCAUCCCUUCUGAUUGGUGCUCAUGCUUUAGAGAUCAUUAAAUAGUUUUUUACUAUCCCUUCUGGAUGUGGUGGUAAGGGACUGGGAGUGCGGUAAUACAGAUUGAGAAGUUAGGAUAGACUUUACUGAGGCUUUUAACUGAGCUAAAGAUGAUGAGAGGAAGCAGCCGUAUGAAAUAAGAGAAUCCACGGGGAUCAAGGGACAAGCUCGUGCAAAGGUACCAUGGCAAGCAAAAGCGGGACCUUUCUGUGCCAAAGAAAGAAGACUUGUCUGGUUGCAACGUCGUGUGUCAAGGGGACAGUGGAGGGAGGUAAAGUCAGAUAGGUGUCAAUGACGUGCAUUGUGGAAGAGCCGUCACCUGUGCUUAUGGCCAAUAUGUUGCUUGAUGAGUGGAGGGCUGUCCUGACGUGGAUCCAUUUUCAGUUAGUAUAUGGGGAAAUGCACAAUAAUCUUUUUAACUACGAUUGGAUAAACGUGUUUGGUAUCAGUAACAAGCAGUAAUCACUAUAUUUGUCACAAGUAGGGUUUUGAUAUGCAGAUAAAAUAGUAAGCAUCUAAGUGUCAAAUAUUCAGUCAGUAACUGGCAAUAUAUCCAAUCUGAAUUUAGUGUUCAAGUAAAGAGAAAACCUUGUGUGUCGGUAAUCGUGGCCAUUGAAUGUCUCACUUUUCAGGUUGCUAUUCAAAUAUACAGGCUAGAAGUGAAAGCCAGACUCACUUUUUCCCUCUGAAGUAUGCUAGUUGUCAAGGGGGAGGGUGCUCCUGGGAGCUUUUCAAAUGAGGGGUAAGAUUCCUUUAACGAUUCACGGCAUCGAUAAAAGAUUAAGGUCUAUUUCUCUGAUUUCAGGCACUUUUGCUUUGUGACAUAUCUCAGAAAUACAUAGAGUGACUUGAAUAGUCUGAAUAUAUUACUUUAGUGACAAUAUGAUGUUAAUAUUGAUGAUAAGACAACAGAUUUCUUAAGAAGUCUAAAUUGGUACAUAGAGCUCAAUUGCCAAGAGUAUGGUUCUUUUUCUUCUUCACUUGUCAGAUAAGAAAAUCAUUGACACACUGUGAUAUACUUUAAAAACAAAUUUAAAUGGUGCCACAGAACACGAAGAAAUGUUUUCCAUAAAUAAAUACAAAAAAAGAGAGUUUAAAAUAAAUACAUUUACCACUCUUCCCCUUCCGGGUCAUUCAAAUGCUUUUGAAUGCGAUGUAGUAAUCAAGUUAGCAUCUUUCGGCACGCAGGGCAUCAUAUUCAAUAUGAAAUCUCCCCAUAGUUUGGAUAUAUUUCAUGUUCGAUCCAAAUAUCUAGAACUAUAAGGCAGAAACACAAAACAUUCAAACUCAUUUUAGGUGACUUGUAUUUGUUGUCUUAAUGUAAGUUAAGAAUUUCUGAUUUGGUAGAAAGAAAGAAUAAAUGAAGUAAUUCACUAGAUACAGGACCUGAUUUGCAUCCCCAGGUAGUCAUUAUUCAGCCUAGUACAAAUAAGUUGGUGAAAACUUUCAAAUAAUAUCAUCCAUCUCACUGACACAAAAUAUUUUUAAUAUUGUUAACCUGAAAUCUGGUUAUUAAUUUUAUUAUUUAAAAGCUUGUAAUAAUCCUGUUUCUCAUUUUAUCUAGAAUUGGUAUCCUGUGAAUGUAAUGAAGACACAGUACAUGGUCCACAAAUGAGAAACUCUGCUCUAUAAAAUAAGAGAUUCACGCUGGUGUGAAGUGAGUUUUCAUGUGUAAUCUAGCAGAGGCUGCUGCUGCCGUGGUUUCUGCGCAUGGUAUCAAGAUUGGAAGAACAUUCAGAAGAAGAAUUAGAGGAGAGUGGAUAAAACUGCGUGUGCAAAAUGUUGAUAAAUACUCCAGUUGGCCCUGAAGCUGGAGGUCGUAGACACGCCAGUAGCCCACCUGGGAGAGCAUGGUCCCUGGGAGCGCGCUUCCCCACCUCCUCGCCAGGACCUCCAUUGCCAUGUGUGUCACCGACAUUCCACCUGCUCUGGGAAGCUGUAUUGAUGAGCUGAGAAAGGCAGCCUGAGCCUGAGGACAGCUUUGUGAUUCCCUGAGGAAAACCAGGGGCUGCCAGUGUUUCCAGAAUUUGAGAACAAUAUAUAUUGGGAAGAAGGUAAGAAACUCCACCACUCUAUUUUUGCUUAUCUCUUUGUUGGGAUCAAAUGUUGGUGAUAGAUUGGCUUGCUUAAUGAGGUGAUACACUUUCUACCAAGAAAUUUUCCAGACUGUAUUGAACAUGACAGUUAAAUAUUCACUAUCAUUAGAUAUUGCAAAGCAAAGGGUCUAAAAACUCCAUGGAUUUUUUUUUCUUGAAUAACAUAAUUUUCCUAAAAACUAUCAAAAAGAUGAUUGAGUACUGAUUCAAUGCCUGGGUAUA